rnacentral:lncRNA from 1 species
UGCUCAACACUAUGGGCUGAUAACCAUGGUACAGGAUAAUGGCAUAGAUGGCUUGGCAAAUAAAAUUCUGGUAAAGAAAACAGCACAAAGUAGAUAUCCUCCGGUGUGCUUAUCUGAAAUUCCUGCUAAACAGUUGGAAAGUGAUAAACCUGAGCUGCUUAAGAUUGCUAUCAGGCCAAGGCCUAAUAAAGGGUCUGAGAAUGAAUCUAGUGAAUUUGGGAUCAAACAGAGUCCUGUGAGAAGUGUGGAAGAGAGAAAGGAGUAUGAUAGGGCAAGAGCUCGCAUCUUCAGUAGCCCUAGCACUUUCAAAUUUCCAUUGAUUCCUUAGGCUGAGUUGCUUUAAUUACCAUUGAAGUUUCCACGGCUUGAUCUGCUUCAUUCCCUAGGAUAGAUUCCUCAAGUUUGGCAUGCUCAUCUCAUCAUAUUGUUUUUCUAUAACAGGGAAAUAAAGCUACAAAUUCUUCAAAUUAGGUUUUCAAGAAGCUCUUUUGCUUUUCAACCUCAUCUUCAAGUUGGUUUUGUUGUUCUUCAUCUUCAAGUUGUUGUUGUGCUUUUAUAUUGUCAAGAGCUCUUGAUCUCUUGUCCAACUUUGCUUACUUGAAAUGCAUAUUCCUUCUUCAAUUCUUCAAGUUUUCUCCCAAACUUGGAGUUCAAACACCCCCUACCCCGCAGGCACCCCCAACUCUUAAAAUUUGUUUGAUGGUUUGACAUUCAUAAAAUAAGUCAAGAGGAAAAUAUGCAACACCACCACAUGAAUCCCUUAAAUAACGUGUUUCAUCAAAUUGUAACAUUCGAAUUUCAUCAAAGUCCUUUUGUUCAUCGAUUUUACCUUGUUGUCUUAGCAUUGUAGCUCAGACAAAUCUUAAUAAAAACACAAUUUGAAGUUAAUAUUAGCCUUGAAUAGAGAUUUAUGCCCAAAAUGGAUGUCAAAAUCAGAAUUAGCUUGUCAAAUUUAUCAAGGAGAUCCUGUCAAAUUUUUUUGCUUAUUUGGCAGCAAGGUGGUGGAUGAUUAGGUGCUGAGCUGGCAAUGACAUGGUGCUGAUGUUGCACUAAACUGUCAAUGUGUAGCUUAGAUGUCGGUGUGAACAUGUGUGCCACUUCAGGUGGUCUGACUAGUACUGGUUUGGGCUACCCGGCCAUGAGCCAUUUUUAGGCAGUUGUGUCAGAGCUGUCGGCAAGGUUUUGAGUUUGUUGUGGUGAGUCUCAUUGGAUAAGAUGAGACUGUUGUCACACAGUAAAUUAAGUGAAAACUUUGGUAACCAAAAAAAAGAAAAAAUACAGGCUGGACUAGAUUAUAUAGGUAUUUAUUGAUUAAUAUUAAUACUACUACUAGUAUUAGGAAACUCUAAAUAAGAAAAUACAAUUCAAACAGUAAAUUAGGAAUGUAAAAUCAAUUGACCUUCAUAAAUAAACUAAAAUUAUACUUCCUAAUUUAUAACAAAAUUCUCAAUAAUACAAACUUACUAUUUCAUAGAAACUUAAAAGUUCCUAAUUUCACAGUGAAAUUUUAAGUUGAAAUAAUUUAGAAAUAUCAUCAUCCAAUACUAUAUCAGCAAUAUUUUACAUGUGUGCUAUCAGUACACACCGUUUUCCCCCUCAUAUAUCAUAUAUAUCCAUUGUAUUUUAUGGCUGAGCUUGCAGGUGGGAAGACCAAAUUUUGAGUUUGCUGAGCUAAGUUGAAAGGGAGAUGCUAAUGGCAGUACAGAAUAAUUUUUUUUGGGGGGGUAAGCUAAUCAUAUUUAUCAUGGAUGGUAAAGAAACCUAAAAUGUUAAAUACAUUGAACUUGAGAAUUCAAGUAUCCUGGUUCCUUGUUUAGAGCUUGCUUCAAAAAGAGAAUGGGGAGGAAACAUGAGGUGUAAAGCAGAGUUAAAUGCUUUAGGUUUCUGUUUCUUUUCUUUUCUUUCUUUUUUUUGGGUUAUCCUUAAACCCUUAUUAGCUUCCUAAGAAGGUUGAACUGUAGAUGAAAUGUUAAGGUGUGUUUUCUUCCGUUCCUUUUAUUUUUCUUCUCCCAGUAUAUGGUCAAAAUAUACUGAUGCCACCACAUGUAUUAGAAUCAGCCUGAGAUUAACUUUUAUCUUCUGGUGAAUAAUUUAACAGUGUUGUAUUGUGUGUCAUCUGAUGUAAGAGCAUUACAUCACUCUUAAGCAGGAUGUCAUUUGAAUUGAGGUACACAUAAGCAUCACGCAACCAUCUGCAUAUGGAGUAUGGAUCAAACUUUUAAUUGUAUGCUGUUAGGUGCAUUUGCUUGUUUGUGCUCAUGUUGUAGUGAGAGAGAGUGAGAGAAAGAGAUGAGGCCAUAUAGAGAGAUGAGACAUUUGUAUAUAUAUAUGUGUAAAUAGUUCCAUGCAUUGUGUUUGUUGACAAUUUUUCAUUGAUUAAGAAUAGUCUAGAUUAGUCUUUGACUCUUUGCCUUAGAUUACAUUAGCAGGUUUUUUGUGAGAGUUACAUUGUCUGUUUUAGUAUUGCAACUCCCUUUCUUCAAUAACAAGCCUUCGAUUGAAUAAGAUCUGUGUUUUUUUGGUGUGCGCAUGUGGUUGUUAUCUUUAUGGACCAGAAAAAUUAACUUAAUUUAUGAAUUUUUUGGUCAGUUUUACGGAUGGAACUAGAUAUUCAGAGAUUCUUACAAAACCCUUAUCAACAACAAUUUGAAUUCCAGCACUUCCCUACUUCAUAUCUUAGGCUUGCUGCACACCGUGUUGCUCAACACUAUGGGCUGAUAACCAUGGUACAGGAUAAUGGCAUAGAUGGCUUGGCAAAUAAAAUUCUGGUAAAGAAAACAGCACAAAGUAGAUAUCCUCCGGUGUGCUUAUCUGAAAUUCCUGCUAAACAGUUAGAAAGUGAUAAAC